AAAAGAACUUUGGAGAGAGAGUCAAACAGUACGUGAAACCGUCGGGAGGGAAACGAACGAGGUUGGUGCAGUGAUUGCGCAGGCUCAGGCUCCGCCGAAGGCGCCGGCAGGGUGACGUAGAUUGUCCCCCGCCGUCUGCCGGAGGCAGAGCCGUACUCCUCGCGAGCACGGACCAGCGGCGGUUGGAGUCGGGGCCAGAAGGCCGUCGGCACGGUAUGUAGGCGGUGGCCUGCCACCGCAGACAACUUACAGGCAGGCGUGCCGGUGCCUCGCUCCGACCGAGGAAGCAGGGCAGCUCUUGCCCGUCACGGUGCACGCCGUAUGGCGGGGCCUCCCGUCGGAGGUGAGCCGUGCCGUGUGGACUGCGUGCAGUGCUCACGGUCACGGUGAUCCCACGUCGGAGAGCGUCACCCGUGCACCAGUGCUGCUGGUAUUCGGACGGCCUCGUCCGACCCGUCUUG
rnacentral:sRNA from 3 species